rnacentral:rRNA from 1 species
CGACGUCGCAUGCUCCCGGGCGCAAUGGCGGCCGCGGGAAUUCGAUUCGUAUUACCGCGGCUGCUGGCACAGAGUUAGCCGGGGCUUCCUCAAUCGGUACCGUCAGACCUCCGGGGUGUUAUCCCGAUGGUUGUUCGUCCCGAUCAACAGGAGUUUACAAUCCGAAGACCUUCAUCCUCCACGCGGCGUUGCGUCGUCAGGCUUGCGCCCAUUGUGCAAGAUUCCCCACUGCUGCCUCCCGUAGGAGUCUGGGCCGUGUCGCAGUCCCAAUGUGGCUGGCCAUCCUCUCAGACCAGCUACCCGUCGGAGCCUUGGUGGGCCGUUACCCCACCAACGAGCUAAUCGGACGCAGGCCCCUCCCGAAGCGCCUCGCGGCUUUGAUGACACGACUGAACGUGUCGCCACAUGCGGUAUUAGCCACCCUUUCGGGCAGUUAUCCCCCACUUCAGGGCAGGUCACCUACGCGUUACUCAGCCGUCCGCCACUAACGAGCAAGCUCGUUCGUUCGACUUGCAUGUCUCAUGCACGCCGCCAGCGUUUAUCCUGAGCCAUGAUCAAACUCUAAUCACUAGUGAAUUCGCGGCCGCCUGCAGGUCGACCAUAUGGGAGAGCUCCCAACGCGU